rnacentral:rRNA from 1 species
UGGGGAAUAUUGCACAAUGGGCGCAAGCCUGAUGCAGCCAUGCCGCGUGUGUGAAGAAGGCCUUCGGGUUGUAAAGCACUUUCAGCGAGGAGGAAGGUGGUGGACUUAAUACGUUCAUCAAUUGACGUUACUCGCAGAAGAAGCACCGGCUAACUCCGUGCCAGCAGCCGCGGUAAUACGGAGGGUGCAAGCGUUAAUCGGAAUUACUGGGCGUAAAGCGCACGCAGGCGGUUUGUUAAGUCAGAUGUGAAAUCCCCGGGCUCAACCUGGGAACUGCAUUUGAAACUGGCAAGCUAGAGUCUCGUAGAGGGGGGUAGAAUUCCAGGUGUAGCGGUGAAAUGCGUAGAGAUCUGGAGGAAUACCGGUGGCGAAGGCGGCCCCCUGGACGAAGACUGACGCUCAGGUGCGAAAGCGUGGGGAGCAAAACAGGAUUAGAUACCCUGGUAGUCCACGCUGUAAAACGAUGUCGAUUUUGGGAGGUUGUCGCCCUUGAGGCGUGGCUUCCGGAGCUAACGCGUUAAAUCGACCGCCUGGGGAGUACGGCCGCAAGGUUAAAACUUAAAUGAAUUGACGGGGUCAUAGCUG